AAGAUAUUAAUGCAUGUGGUGGAUGCCUUGGGUAUUCGUGACGAUGAAGGAGGUGCUAGGCUGCCAUAAGCCUCGAGGAGCUGCCAAGAAGCGCUAAAACUCGGGGAUGUCCGAAUGGGGAAACCCGGCCCGUAGUAAUACGAGGUCACCACUUACUGAAAAUCUCUGCUUUGCAGAGAUUAUAGGUAUUUUGGAGAAGACCCAGUGAACUGAAACAACAUAGUAACUGGAGGAAUAGAAACCAAGUUAGGUAUUUCCUUAGUAGCGGCGAGCGAAAAGGAAUUAGCCCAAACCUGAGGCUAUGAUGAAAAAUUGGGGCAUUUAGGUGCCUCAGAGUUUCACCAUAGUCAAUAUGGGGUUAGGAAAAUCUGUACCGUUCUUCGAGAACGGGAGGAGUUACAAAACACUUACGUAGAAGAAGCCGUCUGGAAAGUCGCGCCAUAGCGGGUAAUAGCCCCGUAUUCGAAACGAAAGUGUCUCCUUAGGUUUAUCCAGAGUAGCACGGGACACGAGAAAUCCUGUGUGAAGAUAGCAGGCCCAUCUGCGAAGGCUAAAUACACGAAUACACCGAUAGUGAAGUAGUACCGUGAGGGAAAGGUGAAAAGAACCCCUGUUAGGGGAGUGAAAUAGAUCCUGAAACCGCAUGCAGACAAGCUGGCAAAGCCCGUUACGUUAUUCCGCAAGGUUUAACGGGGGUGAUGCCGUGCCUAUUGAAGAAUGACCCAGCGAGUUACUGUUGCGUGCUAGCUUAAGCGAAUUUCGUCGCGUAGGCAAAGCGAAAGCGAGUCUUAAUAGGGCGAAUCCGCCUUGUGCGGAAGGUUCGCAACAGUAGACCCGAAGCCUGGUGAGCUAACCAUGAGCAGGUUGAGAUCUGUCGAAAGACAUAUGGAGGACCGAACCGGUGUGCGAGGAAAAGCGCUCGGAUGACUUGUGGUUAGAGGUAAAACGCUAAUCGAACCAGGCGAUAGCUGGCUCUCCCCGAAAUAUAUUUAGGUAUAGCCCGUGUUCAAAAAGAGUUCAUGAGGUAGAGAUACUGACAGGAGAUAGGGGGCGCAAGCCUACCUACUUCUACCAAACUCCGAAUGCGUGAACUCAAUAACACGGAGUCAGUGCUGCGGGGAAAUCUCGUGGCACGAGAGGGAAACAACCCGGACCAACAGCUAAGGUCCCUAAUCUUUGCUAAGUGGGUAAGGAAGUGAGAUCGUCGAGACAGCUAGGAGGUUGGCUUAGAAGCAGCCACCCUUUAAAGAAAGCGUAACAGCUCACUAGUUGAACGAUUUUGCGCCGAUGAUUUAACGGGGCUAAAGCAAAGAACCGAAGCUAUGGAUUCUUUACCGGGAUUUCGUGGGGGUUAAAGCUAAUUUUAGGUAAGCACGCAUGUGCGAUUUAAAUUUUAGCUUGCCCCCAUAAAUUCCCGGUGAAGAGUGGUAGGGGAGCUUUGAUGUCAGCAGUGAAGGUGGACCCGCGAGGGCCGCUGGAGCGGCAUCAAGUGAGAAUGCUGGGUUGAGUAACGAGAGAGCGGUGAAAACCCGCUCCGCCGAAAACCUAAGGGUUCCUCCGCUAUGGCAGUCAACGGAGGGUUAGUCGGUCCUAAGGCGAGGCCGAAAGGCGUAGUCGAUGGAUAGCAGGUUAAUAUUCCUGCACUGCCGUAAGAUCGUUAUCACCAAUGGGGGGACGGAGCAUGCUAGAUCAAGCCCAUUAAGGAUUUGGGUCCCAAAAGCGAAGCAGUCUGCGUAGGAAAAUCCGCGCGGGCGUUACGACAAGCUUAGGGAAAGGUGGCCGCAAGGCUGCUGAUUUGAUGUUAUGUAAGCUUCCAAGAAAAUCCUCUAGGGAGAUUUUACGGUAUCCGUACCGCAAUCCGACACAGGUAGGUGGGUAGAGAAUACUAAGGCGAACGAGCGAAUCGUGGCCGAGGAACUAGGCAAUUUACAUCCGUAACUUAGGAAAAAGGAUGCCCUGCUGCAGGCUUAUGCCGUAGGUAGGGGGCACAGAAAUGGCUCAAGCGACUGUUUAACAAAAACAUAGGUCCCUGCUCAACCAUUAAUGGGAAGUAUAGGGGCCGACGCCUGCCCAGUGCCCGUAGGUCAAGACUGGGGGUGACCGCAUUAUGCGCGAGCUCUUGGUUCAAGCCCGGGUGAACGGCAGCAGUAACUAUAACUGUUCUAUGGUAGCGUAAUCCCUUGUCGGGUAAGUUCCGACCCGCACGAAAGGCGUAACGACUUGAGCACUCUCUUAGUCACGAGCUCGGUGAAAUAGAACUACCGGUGAAGAUGCCGGUUACUCGUUGUUGGACAAAAAGACCCCGUGGAGCUUUACUGUAGCCUGGCAUUGACAAGCGGUAUUUGAUGUGUAGUGUAGGAGGGAGUUUGAGACGUAAAACUCUUAAACGCCAAUGAAACACCUCUCUUCUGAUUCUGUAAGUCUCACUACACACCGUGAUCCGGUGUGAGGACAAUGCUUGGUGGGCAGUUUAUCUGGGGCGGAUUCCCGCUAAAAAGUAACGCGGGAGCCCAAAGGUUCCCUUAGCGCCGAUGGAAAUGGUGCUGUAAGCGUAAAGGUAUAUGGGAGCUUGACUGCAAGACAUACAAGUCGAGCAGAUGCGAAAGCAGGGCUUAGUGAUCUUCCGUGGCUUAAUGGUAGGCCCGGAACUUAUCGGAUAAAAGUUACCCCGGGGAUAACAGGCUGAUCUUGCCCGAGCGUUCACAGCGGCGGCAAGGUUUGGCACCUCGAUGUCGUCUCGUCACAUCCUGGAGCUGGAGCAGGUUCCAAGGGUCCGGCUGUUCGCCGGUUAAAGUGGCGCGUUAGAUGGGUUCAGUACGUCGUGAGACAGUACGGUCUCUUUCCACAACGAGCGUUUAGAGUUUGAGGGGACUCAUUCCUAGUACGAGAGGACCGGAAUGAUCAAACCGCUAGUGUACCAGUUGUUCCGCCAGGAGCAUCGCUGGGUAGCUACGUUUGGACGUGAUAAGUGCUGAAAGCAUCUAAGCACGAAGCAUACCCCAAGAUGAGACUCUUUCAGCUAUAAGCUGACGCAACUCCUGGGAGAUUACCAGGUUGAUAGGCUGCAGGUGUACGCACAGCAAUGUGUUUAGCCGAGCAGUACUAAUGUUUGCGCGUCUUCACCUA
rnacentral:rRNA from 1 species